AUUCUCAACCUAACAAGUUCUUAACGGGACUUGCGUAGGCUUGGACUUGGAGGCUUGUCGGCUCUAGCAGUCGGCUCCUCUCAAAUGCAUUAGCUUGGUUCCUUGCGGAUCGGCUCACGGUGUGAUAAUUAUCUGCGCCGCGACCGUUGAAGCGUUUAAUGGCCAGCUUCUAAUCGUCUCUUGCGAGACAGCUUUCAUCGAA
rnacentral:misc_RNA from 1 species